rnacentral:rRNA from 1 species
UACAGAGGUCUCGAGCGUUGUUCGGAUUCAUUGGGCGUAAAGGGCGCGUAGGCUGCGGGGCAAGUCGGGUGUGAAAUCUCAGAGCUCAACUCUGAAACUGCACUCGAUACUGCUUUGCUUGAGGACUGGAGAGGAGAUUGGAAUUCACGGUGUAGCAGUGAAAUGCGUAGAUAUCGUGAGGAAGACCAGUGGCGAAGGCGGCUCACUGGCCCGGUACUGACGCUGAGGUGCGAAAGCGUGGGGAGCAAACAGG